CAACAAUUCAUUGACAUUCAAUGCAAAUACCAUUUUAUCCUUUGAUUGUUUUGAAGACAAAAAAUAAUAAAAACUAAAACAAUUAAACUUUUGUUGUUUUAGGGAAAUGAAAAAUUGACAUAAAGCAGUCAGACAUUUAUUAUUAGAUAAACGGCACUUAAAAAAAAAAAAAUUCCAAAACUUUUCAUCUUCUUCCAUUAUUUUUCUCUCUACCUGUGGCGAUUGAAACUCAGAUCGUUUCGCCGACGACUGAAAUUUCCAUUUUUUCUACCUCAAUAAUUUUCCGACCAUUUGCACCGUCUGUUCCGCCUGACUAACGCUUCAUCCCUAUUUCUGGACUUUUCCCCUCUCCUGAAUCUGGAUCUCUUGUUAGUCCGAUGGACCAGAUGCGAAUCCUACCCAGAUUCUUGUCAGUCCGAUGGACCAGAUCCAAAUCCAACCCAAUUUAUGUCCACCUCAUUUGUGUCCUUCUCAACACUUUGAUUAACCAGAUCCGAUUUGUUUAUCAUUCAACCUCUCUAGUACUAAUAAUCGUGUUUAUCUAUCAUGUAGCUCUCUUGGUCCUUCGAUGAACCAAAUCCAACUCCCAGUCCGGUUUUUGGCCACUUACUUAUGUGGAUCAGAGCUGAUUAUUUGAAGUGACAAUAGUGUCCAUUACAAAUGAACGCUCUUGUCCAUCAACGACACUGACGCAUGUAUUGGAGCCCAUAUUGAUUAACAGCUGAAACUAUGUCCUCGUUGGCCAAGCUAGGUGUACUUUUCAGACCUUCCAUUUGUAAUUCGAUGGACCAAAUUUCCGAUAAGCAAUUUUUUGUCCACUUGCUCGAUGGACUAUGCUUGAUCCCCCUCAGCUGAUGGACUAUUAUCCCAUGUCUAGUGCAACUUGCUCAGUGUUACCCUCCUCACAUAAACCACUACGAUUCGACCCUUCAGCAUCAUGGCCAUUUGCUUUCUGAAGUUUUACCUUUCUCUUCCUAUUUAUGUCUUAUCUUUUCUUCUUUCCGUUUUUUUACGCCAUAGUUGGUACUUCUUUUUCAACAUAACCACUACCUUCUCCGAUGGACAACCUUCUAUCUCCUGGCUUGAUGGACAUGUCUCUUUCAGUAAAAACAACAUGCAAACUGUUUUAGCUCA